AAGACCCCAUUUUCUGCAAAAUACAAUGAGUUCUGUGUGCCAUAUUCACUGACCCAGUGCCUAUGGUGCAGUGAGAUAUUUAAAGACUGUCCACCUGGGUAUGAGGGGAAUGAGUCCUGUGUGGGUUUUAUUCAUCCAAAGAAUUUGAGGGCUACUGCUCGGCUGACUGUUUUAUCAGUGAUGGAGGAGGUGGUGGUGUGCUGUUCUCCUGGACAACUUCACUCCGCAAAUGUAUGUAGCUGUUUGAAUGUCCCUACAUUAAACAUUACUCUGUACUAUAUCUACCAAUAUACCUACCUCUUGUCAUUUCUUCUUUUAGCGCUCAACCACUGAGGGGAGGAGCUUCACCAUUCAAAAGGCAAUGCCUUCAGGGAGAGUAUUUGUGCACAUACAUUCAUUAAGAACUAAUAAUUACAUAUGUGUGUACAUGCAAAGGUAAUUUUUUUCUAGUUGUUACAGCUACAUACAAGACAUUUAAAAACAUUUAAAUGCGAGUGUAUGAAAUAACUUCUGUUUGCGAUCCAAUGUGGAUUCUGUUCACCAUAUAAGACAAAAGAUAUCCAUGUGGUUCAUACCAGCUGCUGUCAGACUCCUUGUGCAUACAAAAAACUCACUGGGUUAUUACAAUUAAUGGCAAAAUGAAUGUUUGGAAAUGUAAACUGAUAUUUCCAACUGACACACUACAGCAAAAGAUAGAAAAAAUUAGCUUAAAACCAUUUUUUUCAGUGUGAAAAUACUAACAUGCCUAAGACUAUAUUAAUAUUUUACUAGUAGUAUUAUAAAAGAACAUAAAUCUUUAUUUUUUUCUUAUUCAGAGUAUGCGGUUGUAAUACUCUGAAUAAGAAGUAUUCCCGCACAUUCAAUGCACAUUCUCUAAUUGAAUUUUCUAGUAUGAGGCUGUUAAUCUUUUAAUUUAGCUUUCCUGUAUUUUGUUCACUCCCAUCUGCCGGAUCGAGUUCAGACGGAUGAACAGCAUCAGGGAAUGCUUGCAGUGCAGAGCCCUUUUCAAGUCAAACCCACCAGGGUACAGGGUACAGGGUAAGAGGCCGACAUGGUGAACUUCUGGGCUUUUCCUCAGAUGUUUGCACAGGAUUUUGUUCCAAGGACUGUUUUUUUUUUUGCGGCAUGAAACACCUUGGUGUGUUAAGUUCAUAGAAGGGAAAGAAAGAAUGAACUGAGAUCAGCUGGUUUUGAUGUAUUAAUUGAUGUAAACAACAACAAGUUAAACUUUGCAGUGUAUAGUGUUUUAAUAAAAAAGCUAUGGCAAACA
ensembl:lncRNA